AAGUGAUAACAAGUAGCUGAGAUCCUGACUUUGUGACCACCCUGGGGAGAUGCUUCAGAAAGCUAACUCAGGAGCCAUCAAGGAUGUCAAUGCUUGUGACACUAAGAUAGCAGCAAACCCAGGGAUGGGAAUGAACAUCUAAGAGAGGACGCCUUUUGUACUGUAGAGGAGGGAUCCCAUUAUUUCUCUCACAU